rnacentral:rRNA from 1 species
UACGUAGGGAACUAGCGUUGUCCGGAAUCAUUGGGCGUAAAGCGCGCGUAGGCGGCCCGGUAAGUCCGCUGUGAAAGUCAAAGGCUCAACCUUUGAAUGUCAGCGGAUACUGCCGGGCUAGAGUCCGGAAGAGGCGAGUGGAACUCCUGGUGUAGCGGUGGAAUGCGCAGAUAUCAGGAAGAACACCAACGGCGAAGGCAGCUCGCUGGGACGGAACUGACGCUAAGGCGCGAAAGCGUGGGGAGCGAACAGG